CCGGCCGCUCCGGCCUCCCCGGCUCCGACGGGACCCCGGGACCCCCCGGCACCGCCCUGAUGCUCCCGUUCCGUUUCAGCCCCAAGGGCCCGGGCGAGCUCCAGGCUCAGGCGCUGCUGCACCAGGCCCGCAUGUCGCUGCGGGGCCCCCCCGGCCCCAUGGGCUUCACCGGGCGCCCCGGGCCCACGGGCCAGCCCGGCAGCUCCGGCCUCAAGGGCGAAAGCGGCGACUUCGGGCCCCAGG